rfam:Amborella trichopoda AMTR_V1.0_contig_20540, whole genome shotgun sequence.
CCAAUGGCUUUUCUUUCUUUGUUUAUUGCCUGUGACUUAUGAGGUAAAGCCACCAAUGGAUUCAUAAAGAUGAGUU